CUUUUGCUCGCCUUUCUGCGACUGAGGCUGAGUGUGAUUCCUCGUCUACCUACGUUCAUCCGUAGGUGAGGUUCACCUUUUGAGCUUAUCCCUCGUCUAACCUACGUUCUUCCGUAGGUGAGGUUUGCUCUUGAGUACGUCCCUCGUCUAACCUACGUUCUUCCGUAGGUGAGGUUCACUCUUGAACACUUGCCCCUCUGUCUACGUUUUUCGUAAAAUG
rnacentral:lncRNA from 1 species